CGGCACCGCCAGCAGCUUCUGCAGACCUUACUAUAAGGUUCCUCCAGGAAAAAGCCCUGCUCCAAAAAGCUGUCCGAGGGAAAACCCCCUUAACCUUUUGAAGAGAGAUCUCGCAGCUAUCCAGAACUGAAAACCAAGUUAGGCCUUGCUGACCACCCGAAUCCUGCUAGGAUAGCGGAGUUCAUCCCGCGCCCAUCUCAGUGGC